ACGGCGUGCCUCGGCAUC
rnacentral:sRNA from 1 species